rnacentral:misc_RNA from 1 species
CGAUGAGAGACACUUGUUGUGGUGUGGUGACGAUGAUUGCACCAUCAAUUCCAGUAGCUUCAAGGCAUUGUACAAUUGAUAUGUGCUCAUCUGAAGUCCCUGGUGGAGCAUCGACAACCAGAAAGUCGAGUUCUCCCCAAUACACAUCCUUUAGGAACUGCUUAAUGAGCCCAUUUUUUCGAGGGCCUCUCCAAAUGACUGCUUCGUCAGGGUUAGGGAGCAUGAAACCAAUCGACAUAACUCCAAGGUUGGACUCUAUGUAAACAGGGGACCAUCCAAGGUUACUCUGAUGCACGUCCUGACCUUCUAGACCAAGCAUCUUCGGGAUACUCGGGCCACAAAUAUCAAUAUCAAGAAGACCCACCUGAAAGUCCAUGGCAGCUAGUGCAAAUGCAAGCUGAGCAGAGAACGUGCUCUUUCCAACCCCACCCUUACCUGAUAGAACAAGAAUUUUGUGCUUAACCGUCGCCAUUCGUUCUGCUAUCGAAACCAGGUCUGGGUCAGCGCCUUUAGGCGCAGUAGCACAAAUUGAUUGGUUGGGACAUCCUUGACAGGCAUCGGAUUUCCCCGCUGACUCCGACUGAGGACCUGGGCAAUUUUCAUUGGCGUUUUCGGGGACUUCGCUAUUCUCCAUUGGCUACGUCUCCUUCUUCAAUGCUGAUGAGGUUUUUGUGAAUUUGAUGUCUUUCCUUGCAGGAAAAAUUAUUCACCUGAUACCGUAAGAACAAGAGAGUUGAAAAUCAGUGCAAAAUUUCCAGGAGAGAGGUUGCGGGCGCACGAGCGGAAGAAAGACGACGGCAACGGCCGCACUGAACGGGAGAGAGGCGGCGUGAAGAAGGAGAAGAAGGUCGCGUAGAG